CACAUAGCCUCCUCCGCCGCCCCCGUACGCCGCCCCCCUCCUCCGCCGACCUAGGCGACCCCCACCGGCGUCGAUGGCGCCCGGUGCGGCGAGGUCGACGCCGCCUCCCUCUCCAGCACCAGACCCCAGGAGGGAAGGGUUCAUCGUGCUGCGAGCGUGGCGACCACAAGCACUAGAGGAAGCCGUGCUUCUUGCCUCCUCUGUCGUCUCAGGGUCGUCGUCCCACCACCAGGCUGUGGCGCGCACAGACCCCCAUCACGGCAUCCUCCACUCCGACGGCAGGAGCGGUGCGUGCUCCUCACUAUGCUGGCACACCACGCUGCUCAGAUGUCAGAUCCGUCACGGUGGACUCGAUACAGCCUUGCUCCAGAUGUUUUUGGUUUCUUACAAUUUUGUUGGCUGCUCGGAGGGGACGAGGCUGUUAGACUUUUUGGUAUGAGGCAACUGGGCAAGAAGGAAGUAGAAUGAGGCUGCACCCCUUGAAAGUAGAAGGAAUCCUCUGCCCUAAGAAAGAACAUGGAAAGAGCACUCUUGGGAAAAAGAAGUAAACUACAAUCUUGCAAAUGAACAAAGAAACAGAACCUUGCUCACAAAAUUUCGCGUGAGUGGUAACAUUUCUCUUCACACGUAUAAUCUGAUUUUCAACACUUCAAUUAGAAACUGCACGAUUGGAGACACUGAGUCAUCACAUUGGCUAAUACAAGUGAUUUUUUUUUCUCUAGAAUACGCACAAGCAUGUGUAUCAUAUGUUAAAUUGUUAAUAGAAGAAAGAGGUGGAGAGCCCCAUCCACGUUUUUACAUCCACGGCCUUAGGCCCAAGGUUCACCACACGGAUUACUCACGAACUACCCGCCCCGCCUAUACAACCUAGCGAACAGCCCCGAGACCUCUCCACGCAAGAGUCCCGCUACAUGCCAUGCUAAUACAAGUGAUUUAUUUGAGAGGAACACAAGUGACCUUUACCUUAGUUAUGCCAGCUCUAUUUUCUUUCAGAAAAUCCUUUUUAUGGAUUGAUGGUGGGACUUGGGAGCCACAUAUACAUGCGUGGAGGCUUCUCUCUUUGCAUAAUUUUGUUCUAGAUGCUUAUACUUUUUUCCUCUUAACUGGGGGCUGUUUCAAAAAGGAAGCACCUCAUGUGUAAAAAUUGGCUGACCUGCCGUUUACUAUUUACCAUUUUCUAUACAGCCUGAAUGUACUGGAAGGAACAACAUUUGUGAGUUUAUAAUCAGCUGUAGUAAUCUUGCUAUAGAUAUAUACACACUGAAAGUCUGAAAACAUGCUAGUAAAAGCUACUUGCUUUGAAAGCAGCAUUAUGGUUUAUAUGCAGUCAGAAUGUAAAUAUUCAAUAUUGCUAGAUGAACCAUGCUCUCAUUCAGACAAUGGAGUGGGACUGCAAUGCCAUUGAAUUGAGUGUAAAUAUUCAAUUCUUUUAUUUAAAUUGUCAGUGAGAGGGAGAGACAGAGAGUUUGUUUCUGUAACACUAACACCACUUAGUUUGUUGAAAUACUUUCCUAGAGCGAUGUAAGUUCACAUAGGUGCCAUAAUCCUUGCUUAAACUUUCAUACUCUAGAAUACAAAAUAAUAUUUGUAUGCUUUUGCAGUUUGCACUAUAAGUGUUAUUUCCAGGAUAAAAAAUUCUUCUACAACCAAACACGACUAAUAUAUCUCUGAUGUAAUCGAUAUAGAUUUGUAGCUUGUAUCAUUUACGUAUGGUAUCCAUUUUUUAAUUUUAUAUGUAUAUAGGUUGUUCAUUAACUGGUUGUUGCGCAAAUUUGGGUAUGGGCUGCUGCAUUCUGUCGAGUUAAGAUUGACCAAGUCUAGCUGAGUAGUAGACUAAAGAAAUUAUAUUUACAAUAUUGCAUUCUUUCAACUAAAAGGAGAAGUUUACUCAGUCAAAUGCUCACUCAUGCUAAUUUGGAGGCUUAAAAACUCUAUGACUCCUCUAACAAUUAGAACGCUUACGAAGAGAAUAUGUAGAUAGAUGUAUAUGCGGAAGGACAUUCAAGGAAUCUUGUGUCAUGCUAAGAUCUAUGUUUAGACAUAUCAUGCUUCUAUUUUUAUGAUCCAAAGGAGGAGAGACAUGAACAAUUAUUUACAAAAGCUUAGCAGUAUAUAUUGAACUGACAUGGAUACAUGUUUCAGUAUCAGGCCGAUACAGAUACGUAAAUUUGUCAUUUUAAUAAAAGCGCCAAUACGGGCACACAUUUUUCAGCUUGUUUUAUGCUAAUACAGCUUGAUCCAUUGCGAUCUCACUUAAUGCAUUAAGAGGACCAGAGGAGCCAUCUGGAGGAGAGGAUCAGAGGAGAUGAGAUUAUGAGAAGAGAAACAAGAAGGCAGAAGAGGAAGUGAGGUUAGCUAAGGUGGUUGGCGGCUGAAUGGCUCGGUGUACAUACCUUGGUGGUUGUGCUGACCUCAACCAUAUAGCUGCCGCUAAGGAUCUAAACAUUCUAGUAUUUUACACGAAUUUGUGAAGUUCAACUUCUGAGUGUCGCGACUCAUGACUAAACAUUCAAGUUGUUAGCAUAGCAAAACUCAAUAUGUCAAAAUGAAACUACUCUUGCUUACUUGAUCAUUUCGAGUAUGAAUAUGAAACAAUGGUUAUUUAUGUCAUGUUUAUACAUAUCUUGAACUGUACUGGAAGGUAUCAAUGUUUGUGAAUUCAUACUCAGCAGCAAUAAUAUUGCUAUAGAUACACAGGGGAAGUUUGAAAACAUGCAGUAGAAAUACAUGGCAACUACCAUAUGUAGCUGUAUGCUACUUGCUUUGAAAACAUCACUAUGAUUUGCUUCUUUGCCUGCCAAACUAUUAUUAUGCCAGUAUGUAUUUUCUAUGUGAUAUUAUGUCCAUUUUUUUGUGCUGCAGUAUAGAUCAUUUAACAAAGUUAUUACCUUAUAGCAGUUGUACCAUCUUAUCUGUUCAGGUUGGCAUCACCACUAGAAGAUCUUCAUAGUAACAACACAAUCAAGUGAGGCGAGGUUAGUCUGAUCUUCGGAGCAUUGCAAGUUUGGUGACUCUUCUGCUGGAGACAUGUGGCCCUCUUCGAGUAAUGCAGAUUCACAGGAUAGUGCUGAGAAUGGUAUUCAAAAGACAUCCCAUGAAUAUGGUAAUGUACUAAUGUCAUCCAACAAACGGCUGAGCAGAAAAUGUGAUAAUGCCAUUGUCUUAUUGGACAUGGUUGUAGCCAUGAGUCAAGCUCAAACAGUUGGUGUAACUUAGUUGUAAAUUAUGUUAAUUGAUGUGGUUGGAUGCUACUGAACAAAUGUAUGUUGAAAUGUUGAAAUUUUAGUAUGAAAGUGUUUGGGGUGCUAUU